GGGGAAUCUUGCGCAAUGGGGGUAACCCUGACGCAGCGACGCCGCGUGGGCGAUGAAGGUCUUCGGAUCGUAAAGCCCUGUCGGGAGGGAAGAAAUUGACGGUACCUCCAAAGGAAGCACCGGCUAACUCUGUGCCAGCAGCCGCGGUAAUACAGAGGGUGCAAGCGUUGCUCGGAAUUACUGGGCGUAAAGAGCGUGUAGGCGGUCAGGCAGGUCGGAUGUGAAAUCCCCGGGCUCAACCCGGGAACUGCAUCCGAUACCACCUGGCUAGAAUGCGGAAGAGAGAGGUGGAAUUCCCAGUGUAGAGGUGAAAUUCGUAGAGAUUGGGAGGCACACCAGUGGCGAAAGCGGCCUCUUGGUCCUGCAUUGACGCUGAGACGCGAAAGCGUGGGGAGCAAAC
rnacentral:rRNA from 1 species